rnacentral:rRNA from 1 species
GCCCAUCAGAAGGGGAUAACACUUGGAAACAGGUGCUAAUACCGUAUAACAAUCGAAACCGCAUGGUUUUGAUUUGAAAGGCGCUUUCGGGUGUCGCUGAUGGAUGGACCCGCGGUGCAUUAGCUAGUUGGUGAGGUAACGGCUCACCAAGGCCACGAUGCAUAGCCGACCUGAGAGGGUGAUCGGCCACAUUGGGACUGAGACACGGCCCAAACUCCUACGGGAGGCAGCAGUAGGGAAUCUUCGGCAAUGGACGAAAGUCUGACCGAGCAACGCCGCGUGAGUGAAGAAGGUUUUCGGAUCGUAAAACUCUGUUGUUAGAGAAGAACAAGGAUGAGAGUAACUGUUCAUCCCUUGACGGUAUCUAACCAGAAAGCCACGGCUAACUACGUGCCAGCAGCCGCGGUAAUACGUAGGUGGCAAGCGUUGUCCGGAUUUAUUGGGCGUAAAGCGAGCGCAGGCGGUUUCUUAAGUCUGAUGUGAAAGCCCCCGGCUCAACCGGGGAGGGUCAUUGGAAACUGGGAGACUUGAGUGCAGAAGAGGAGAGUGGAAUUCCAUGUGUAGCGGUGAAAUGCGUAGAUAUAUGGAGGAACACCAGUGGCGAAGGCGGCUCUCUGGUCUGUAACUGACGCUGAGGCUCGAAAGCGUGGGGAGCAAACAGGAUUAGAUACCCUGGUAGUCCACGCCGUAAACGAUGAGUGCUAAGUGUUGGAGGGUUUCCGCCCUUCAGUGCUGCAGCUAACGCAUUAAGCACUCCGCCUGGGGAGUACGACCGCAAGGUUGAAACUCAAAGGAAUUGACGGGGGCCCGCACAAGCGGUGGAGCAUGUGGUUUAAUUCGAAGCAACGCGAAGAACCUUACCAGGUCUUGACAUCCUUUGACCACUCUAGAGAUAGAGCUUCCCCUUCGGGGGCAAAGUGACAGGUGGUGCAUGGUUGUCGUCAGCUCGUGUCGUGAGAUGUUGGGUUAAGUCCCGCAACGAGCGCAACCCUUAUUGUUAGUUGCCAUCAUUCAGUUGGGCACUCUAGCAAGACUGCCGGUGACAAACCGGAGGAAGGUGGGGAUGACGUCAAAUCAUCAUGCCCCUUAUGACCUGGGCUACACACGUGCUACAAUGGGAAGUACAACGAGUUGCGAAGUCGCGAGGCUAAGCUAAUCUCUUAAAGCUUCUCUCAGUUCGGAUUGCAGGCUGCAACUCGCCUGCAUGAAGCCGGAAUCGCUAGUAAUCGCGGAUCAGCACGCCGCGGUGAAUACGUUCCCGG